rnacentral:rRNA from 1 species
GCAGAGAUCAGAACUCGUACCUUUUGCAUCAUGAUUUAGCUAGCACUUUCAAGCAAAGAGAACUUAAAGUUUGUAACCCCGAAACUGAGUGAGCUACUCCAAGACAGCCUAAUUAUAGGGCAAACCCGUCUCUGUGGCAAAAGAGUGGGAAGAGCUUUGAGUAGAGGUGACAGACCUACCGAACCCAGUUAUAGCUGGUUGCCCGUGAAUUGGAUAGAAGUUCAGCCCCCUAGGUUCCCCACAAACUAAGGGCGUUAGUCAAAGGGGGUACAGCCCCUUUGAAAAAAGACACAACUUUUACAGCAGGAUAAAGAUCAUAUUUAAUCAAGGACAAAUGUUUUAGUGGGCCUAAAAGCAGCCACCUUAACAGAAAGCGUUAAAGCUCAGACAUACUAUACCGAUAACCUUAUCUUAAUCCCCUAAAUUUAACGGGCCCCCCUAUGCUAAACAUGGGGAUGACCAUGCUAAUAUGAGUAAUAAGAGAAUACUCUCUCCUCGCACAUGUGUAAAUCGGAACGGACCCCCCACCGACUCUUAACGGCCCCAAUCAAAGAGGGCAUUGGAAUACGACUAGAAAAACAUCCCCCGUUAACCCCACACUGGUGUGCCCCAGAGGAAAGACCAAAGGGGGGAGAAGGAACUCGGCAAACAAGCCUCGCCUGUUUACCAAAAACAUCGCCUCUUGCAAGUAUAAGAGGUCCCGCCUGCCCAGUGACAGCAUAUGUUUAACGGCCGCGGUAUUUUGACCGUGCAAAGGUAGCGUAAUCACUUGUCUUUUAAAUGAAGACCCGUAUGAAUGGCAUAACGAGGGCUUAACUGUCUCCUUCCCCCGGUCAAUGAAAUUGAUCUCCCCGUGCAGAGGCGGGGAUACCCCCAUAAGACGAGAAGACCCUAUGGAGCUUUAGACGCAAAGGCAGAUCAUGUCAAAUACACCCAACUAUGGAACCUGAACUAAAUGAAGCCAGCCUUGAUGUCUUCGGUUGGGGCGACCAUGGGGAACACAAAACCCCCACGUGGAAAAGGAGUACUCCUACAAACCAGAGCGACAGCUCUAAUCAGCAGAAAUUCUGACCAAACUGAUCCGGCAACGCCGAUCAACGAAUCAAGUUACCCUAGGGAUAACAGCGCAAUCCCCUUUUAGAGCCCAUAUCGACAAGGGGGUUUACGACCUCGAUGUUGGAUCAGGACAUCCUAAUGGUGCAG